GAUGAACGCUGGCGGCGUGCCUAAUACAUGCAAGUCGAGCGAACAGAUAAGGAGCUUGCUCCUUUGAAGUUAGCGGCGGACGGGUGAGUAACACGUGGGUAACCUACCUAUAAGACUGGGAUAACUUCGGGAAACCGGAGCUAAUACCGGAUAACAUUUAGAACCGCAUGGUUCUAAGGUGAAAGAUGGUUUUGCUAUCACUUAUAGAUGGACCCGCGCCGUAUUAGCUAGUUGGUAAGGUAACGGCUUACCAAGGCGACGAUACGUAGCCGACCUGAGAGGGUGAUCGGCCACACUGGAACUGAGACACGGUCCAGACUCCUACGGGAGGCAGCAGUAGGGAAUCUUCCGCAAUGGGCGAAAGCCUGACGGAGCAACGCCGCGUGAGUGAUGAAGGGUUUCGGCUCGUAAAACUCUGUUAUUAGGGAAGAACAAAUGUGUAAGUAACUGUGCACAUCUUGACGGUACCUAAUCAGAAAGCCACGGCUAACUACGUGCCAGCAGCCGCAGUAA
rnacentral:rRNA from 1 species